UGGGGAAUAUUGCACAAUGGGCGAAAGCCUGAUGCAGCAACGCCGCGUGAGUGAUGAAGGCCUUCGGGUUGUAAAGCUCUGUCUUCUGGGACGAUAAUGACGGUACCAGAGGAGGAAGCCACGGCUAACUACGUGCCAGCAGCCGCGGGAAUACGGAGGUGGCAAGCGUUGUCCGGAUUUACUGGGCGUAAAGGAUGCGUAGGCGGAUACUUAAGUCAGAUGUGAAAAUCCCGGGCUUAACUUGGGAACUGCAUUUGAAACUGGGUAUCUAGAGUGCGGGAGAUGGAAGUGGAAUUCCUAGUGUAGCGGUGAAAUGCGUAGAGAUUAGGAAGGACACAAGUGGCGAAGGCGAGUUUCUGGACCGUAACUGACGCUGGGGCAUGAAAGCGUGGGGAGC
rnacentral:rRNA from 1 species